UAUCUCUGUAGAGUCUGCAUAUCAAUAAGCGGAGGAAAAGAAACUAACAAGGAUUCCCCUAGUAACGGCGAGUGAAGCGGGAAGAGCUCAAAUUUGAAAUCUUCAAGGUUUGACCUUGGCGAAUUGUAGUUUAAAGAAGUGUUUUUCGGUUAGAGGAGUAGUAAAAGUUCUUUGGAAUAGGACAUCAUAGAGGGUGAGAAUCCCGUAUUUGACCUAUUAUUUUCUAGCUUUGUGAUACACUUUCAAAGAGUCGGAUUGUUUGGGAAUGCAGUCCAAAAUGGGUGGUAAAUUUCAUCUAAAGCUAAAUAUUGGCGAGAGACCGAUAGCGAACAAGUACCGUGAGGGAAAGAUGAAAAGAACUUUGAAAAGAGAGUUAAACAGUACGUGAAAUUGUCAAAAGGGAAGCGUUUUGACACCAGUGUUGUUUUUUCCGAAAAUCAAUUAAAAAUUGAUUCAUGCCAGGUUGUAUUGACCUUAUCAGCUUGCAAUUUGGUUUUUGGGUCUCUUUUUUGAUGCACUUUUCGGUUAACAAGUCAACAUCAAUUUCCUUUGCUGUAAAAAGGUAAGAGGAAGGUGGCUUCAAUUUCGGUUGAAGUGUUUUAUAGCCUUUUAUCUCUGCAGUCGGGGAGAUUGAGGUCUGCAGCGUAGAUCCUUCGGGGCUAGAUACAUUUAUGCUAAGUUAUAGCUUUUUCAUAGACAACUUGUUGACUAUGUUUAGUCAUGUAGCUUACUCGUAAGUGCUAUUUUACCUACGCUUAGGAUGUUGAAGACUCUACAGAGAUA
rnacentral:rRNA from 1 species